rnacentral:rRNA from 1 species
UGUAUAAUGGGUCAGCGACUUAUAUUCUGUAGCAAGGUUAACCGAAUAGGGGAGCCGGAGGGAAACCGAGUCUUAACCGGGCGUUAAGUUGCAGGGUAUAGACCCGAAACCCGGUGAUCUAGCCAUGGGCAGGUUGAAGGUUGGGUAACACUAACUGGAGGACCGAACCGACUAAUGUUGAAAAAUUAGCGGAUGACCUGUGGCUGGGGGUGAAAGGCCAAUCAAACCGGGAGAUAGCUGGUUCUCCCCGAAAGCUAUUUAGGUAGCGCCUCGUGAAUUCAUCUCCGGGGGUAGAGCACUGUUUCGGCUAGGGGGCCAUCCCGGCUUACCAACCCGAUGCAAACUGCGAAUACCGGAGAAUGUUAUCACGGGAGACACACGGCGGGUGCUAACGUCCGUCGUGAAGAGGGAAACAACCCAGACCGCCAGCUAAGGUCCCAAAGUCAUGGUUAAGUGGGAAACGAUGUGGGAAGGCCCAGACAGCCAGGAUGUUGGCUUAGAAGCAGCCAUCAUUUAAAGAAAGCGUAAUAGCUCACUGGUCGAGUCGGCCUGCGCGGAAGAUGUAACGGGGCUAAACCAUGCACCGAAGCUGCGGCAGCGACACUGUGUGUUGUUGGGUAGGGGAGCGUUCUGUAAGCCUGUGAAGGUGUGUCGUGAGGCAUGCUGGAGGUAUCAGAAGUGCGAAU